AGGGAAAUAGCUCAGUGGUAGAACGUAAGCUUAGCAUGCACAAGGUCCUGGGUUCAAUCCCCAGUACCUCCA
rnacentral:tRNA from 1 species